rnacentral:rRNA from 1 species
UACGUAGGGUGCAAGCGUUAAUCGGAAUUACUGGGCGUAAAGCGUGCGCAGGCGGUUGUGCAAGACCGAUGUGAAAUCCCCGGGCUUAACCUGGGAAUGGCAUUGGUGACUGCACGGCUAGAGUGUGUCAGAGGGGGGUAGAAUUCCACGUGUAGCAGUGAAAUGCGUAGAGAUGUGGAGGAAUACCGAUGGCGAAGGCAGCCCCCCGGGAUAACACUGACGCUCAUGCACGAAAGCGUGGGGAGCAAACAGG